UGGCGGACGGGUGAGUAACACGUAAGAAUUUGCCUUUAGGAGGGGGACAACAAUUGGAAACGAUUGCUAAUACCCCAUAUGCUUUUGAGUGAAAUGGAUUUUUCCGCCUAAAGAGAAGCUUGCGGCUGAUUAGCUUGUUGGUAAGGUAAUGGCUUACCAAGGCGACGAUCAGUAUCUGGUUUGAGAGGACGAUCAGACACACUGGAACUGAGACACGGUCCAG
rnacentral:rRNA from 1 species